GACGAACGCUGGCGGCGUGCCUAAUACAUGCAAGUAGAACGCUGAAGAGAGGAGCUUGCUCUUCUUGGAUGAGUUGCGAACGGGUGAGUAACGCGUAGGUAACCUGCCUUGUAGCGGGGGAUAACUAUUGGAAACGAUAGCUAAUACCGCAUAACAAUGGAUGACACAUGUCAUUUAUUUGAAAGGGGCAAUUGCUCCACUACAAGAUGGACCUGCGUUGUAUUAGCUAGUAGGUGAGGUAACGGCUCACCUAGGCGACGAUACAUAGCCGACCUGAGAGGGUGAUCGGCCACACUGGGACUGAGACACGGCCCAGACUCCUACGGGAGGCAGCAGUAGGGAAUCUUCGGCAAUGGGGGCAACCCUGACCGAGCAACGCCGCGUGAGUGAAGAAGGUUUUCGGAUCGUAAAGCUCUGUUGUAAGUCAAGAACGAGUGUGAGAGUGGAAAGUUCACACUGUGACGGUAGCUUACCAGAAAGGGACGGCUAACUACGUGCCAGCAGCCGCGGUAAUACGUAGGUCCCGAGCGUUGUCCGGAUUUAUUGGGCGUAAAGCGAGCGCAGGCGGUUUGAUAAGUCUGAAGUUAAAGGCUGUGGCUCAACCAUAGUUCGCUUUGGAAACUGUCAAACUUGAGUGCAGAAGGGGAGAGUGGAAUUCCAUGUGUAGCGGUGAAAUGCGUAGAUAUAUGGAGGAACACCGGCGGCGAAAGCGGCUCUCUGGUCUGUAACUGACGCUGAGGCUCGAAAGCGUGGGGAGCGAACAGGAUUAGAUACCCUGGUAGUCCACGCCGUAAACGAUGAGUGCUAGGUGUUGGAUCCUUUCCGGGAUUCAGUGCCGCAGCUAACGCAUUAAGCACUCCGCCUGGGGAGUACGACCGCAAGGUUGAAACUCAAAGGAAUUGACGGGGGCCCGCACAAGCGGUGGAGCAUGUGGUUUAAUUCGAAGCAACGCGAAGAACCUUACCAGGUCUUGACAUCCCGAUGCUAUUUCUAGAGAUAGAAAGUUACUUCGGUACAUCGGUGACAGGUGGUGCAUGGUUGUCGUCAGCUCGUGUCGUGAGAUGUUGGGUUAAGUCCCGCAACGAGCGCAACCCCUAUUGUUAGUUGCCAUCAUUCAGUUGGGCACUCUAGCGAGACUGCCGGUAAUAAACCGGAGGAAGGUGGGGAUGACGUCAAAUCAUCAUGCCCCUUAUGACCUGGGCUACACACGUGCUACAAUGGUUGGUACAACGAGUUGCGAGUCGGUGACGGCAAGCUAAUCUCUUAAAGCCAAUCUCAGUUCGGAUUGUAGGCUGCAACUCGCCUACAUGAAGUCGGAAUCGCUAGUAAUCGCGGAUCAGCACGCCGCGGUGAAUACGUUCCCGGGCCUUGUACACACCGCCCGUCAAGGGCGAAUUCCAG
rnacentral:rRNA from 1 species